GACGAACGCUGGCGGCGUGCUUAACACAUGCAAGUCGAACGGGAUUUAGUAAACAGAAGCCUCGGUGGAAGAUUACUAAUGAGAGUGGCGAACGGGUGAGUAACGCGUGAGCAACCUGCCUAUGACAGUGGGAUAGCCUCGGGAAACCGGGAUUAAUACCGCAUAAAAUCGUAGAAACACAUGUUUUAACGGUCAAAGAUUUAUCGGUCAUAGAUGGGCUCGCGUCUGAUUAGCUAGUUGGUGAGAUAACAGCCCACCAAGGCGACGAUCAGUAGCCGGUCUGAGAGGAUGAACGGCCACAUUGGAACUGAGACACGGUCCAAACUCCUACGGGAGGCAGCAGUGGGGAAUAUUGCACAAUGGGGGAAACCCUGAUGCAGCGACGCCGCGUGAACGAAGAAGGUAUUCGUAUCGUAAAGUUCUGUCCUAUGGGAAGAUAAUGACAGUACCAUAGAAGAAAGCCCCGGCUAAAUACGUG
rnacentral:rRNA from 1 species